rnacentral:rRNA from 1 species
GAUGAGUAGGGCGGGACACGUGGUAUCCUGUCUGAAUAUGGGGGGACCAUCCUCCAAGGCUAAAUACUCCUGACUGACCGAUAGUGAACCAGUACCGUGAGGGAAAGGCGAAAAGAACCCCGGCGAGGGGAGUGAAAAAGAACCUGAAACCGUGUACGUACAAGCAGUGGGAGCACAGAGCAAUCUGUGUGACUGCGUACCUUUUGUAUAAUGGGUCAGCGACUUAUAUUCUGUAGCAAGGUUAACCGAAUAGGGGAGCCGAAGGGAAACCGAGUCUUAACCGGGCGUUAAGUUGCAGGGUAUAGACCCGAAACCCGGUGAUCUAGCCAUGGGCAGGUUGAAGGUUGGGUAACACUAACUGGAGGACCGAACCGACUAAUGUUGAAAAAUUAGCGGAUGACUUGUGGCUGGGGGUGAAAGGCCAAUCAAACCGGGAGAUAGCUGGUUCUCCCCGAAAGCUAUUUAGGUAGCGCCUCGUGAAUUCAUCUCCGGGGGUAGAGCACUGUUUCGGCAAGGGGGUCAUCCCGACUUACCAACCCGAUGCAAACUGCGAAUACCGGAGAAUGUUAUCACGGGAGACACACGGCGGGUGCUAACGUCCGUCGUGAAGAGGGAAACAACCCAGACCGCCAGCUAAGGUCCCAAAGUCAUGGUUAAGUGGGAAACGAUGUGGGAAGGCCCAGACAGCCAGGAUGUUGGCUUAGAAGCAGCCAUCAUUUAAAGAAAGCGUAAUAGCUCACUGGUCGAGUCGGCCUGCGCGGAAGAUGUAACGGGGCUAAACCAUGCACCGAAGCUGCGGCAGCGACACUGUGUGUUGUUGGGUAGGGGAGCGU